UGGCGCACGGGUGAGUAACGCGUAGGUUAUCUGCCCUUAUCCCUGACAUAACAUCGAGAAAUCGGUGCUAAUAUCAGAUGAGGCCGAAAGGUCAAAGUAGCAAUACGGAUAGGGAUGAGCCUGCGUCUGAUUAGCUUGUUGGUAAGGUAACGGCUUACCAAGGCGACGAUCUUUAGCUGGUCUGAGAGGAUGAUCAGCCACACUGGGACUGAGACACGGCCCAGACUCC
rnacentral:rRNA from 1 species